rnacentral:rRNA from 1 species
CUAAAAAAUAAAAGGGUAAUACCACAAAGAGAAACCUAUGCCUUUUGGCGGCCUUUUUUCUAAUUAGAGGAACUUGUUCACUAAUCGAAACCACACGCUAAAUUUCACUAUUAUUCAGUUUUUAUACCGUCGUCUUUAGAGUCUAUUCAGAUAUUUUACUCGCAAUCGGCGCCCAAAAAAGUCAGAUCAAGGUGAAGCAAAUAUAAUAGAAACAAUGAGUUAUCCAUAAAAAAUAUUUAAAGAUUUUUAUUCAAAAAGCAAAUGAAUCAAGAUUUGAAAGUACCUAAAAAUUAAAACUUCUUAGAGAAACAGUAAAAAAAGGUGU